GCCCACGUGCUGAAAUUGGUAGACAGGCUGGUUUGAGGGACCAGUGCCGGAAACGGCGUGCAGGUUCGAGUCCUGUCGUGGGCAUCA
rnacentral:tRNA from 1 species